rnacentral:rRNA from 1 species
UGGGGAAUAUUGCACAAUGGAGGGAACUCUGAUGCAGCAACGCCGCGUGCGGGAUGACGGCCUUCGGGUUGUAAACCGCUUUCAGCCAUGACGAAGCUUUUGUGACGGUAGUGGGGGAAGAAGCACCGGCUAACUACGUGCCAGCAGCCGCGGUGAUACGUAGGGUGCGAGCGUUGUCCGGAAUUAUUGGGCGUAAAGAGCUUGUAGGCGGUUUGUCGCGUCGAUAGUGCAAACUCAGUGCUUAACGCUGAGCCUGCUGUUGAUACGGGCAGACUAGAGGAAGGUAGGGGAGAAUGGAAUUCCCGGUGGAGCGGUGGAAUGCGCAGAUAUCGGGAGGAACACCGGUGGCGAAGGCGGUUCUCUGGGCCUUUCCUGACGCUGAGAAGCGAAAGCGUGGGGAGCGAACAGG